CGGCGACGGGGUUUGUACGCCGCGGGCACCCGUCGCAGCGCGCUUCCGCCUUCUUUCACCUGUGAGGUCGGCCGCCGCCGUGACUCCGGAAGGACUCGGCCGGGCCGCCGGAUGUGACGCAGGGGCCAGGGCGCGUCGGAGCCGCUGAGAAAGCGCAGAGAAGGCGGGCCCCGUCUGAGGUCUGGCAGUCAGAGACAGCCGGGCGCCCACGGCCCGAGCGCCCACGGCAGCACCAUGCCCGCACUCCUGGAGCGCCCCAAGCUUUCCAACGCCAUGGCCAGGGCGCUGCACCGGCACAUUAUGAUGGAGCGGGAGCGCAAGCGGCAGGAGGAAGAAGAGGUGGAUAAGAUGAUGGAACAGAAGAUGAAGGAAGAACAGGAGAGAAGAAAGAAAAAGGAGAUGGAAGAGAGAAUGUCACUAGAGGAGACCAAGGAACAAAUUCUGAAGUUGGAGGAGAAGCUUUUGGCCCUACAGGAAGAGAAGCACCAGCUUUUCCUGCAGCUCAAGAAAGUUUUACAUGAGGAAGAAAAACGGAGGCGAAAGGAACAGAGUGACCUGACCACCCUGACAUCAGCUGCAUACCAGCAGAGCCUGACUGUUCACACAGGAACUCAUCUCCUCAGCAUGCAGGGGAGCCCUGGAGGACACAAUCGCCCAGGCACCCUCAUGGCAGCUGACAGAGCCAAACAAAUGUUUGGACCCCAAGUGCUUACGGUGAGAGUAGGAUUGGAUGCCUAGCCCCUAGUACUUCCAUCCAUGCAUCCUUGCCACCAGUAUUCAAGUCACAAACAUAUCAAGCACUUAAGUUUAGGGGGAAACGGGGCAUACAGAUACACACAAGUCACUGGGUUUCAGCUUUCAAGGAGUUUGUAGGCGAGUUCUCAUUCUCCUUCCUUAGACCCGGCACUACGUGGGCUCAGCAGCUGCUUUUGCAGGGACACCAGAGCAUGGACAAUUCCAAGGCAGUCCUGGUGGUGCCUAUGGGACUGCUCAGCCCCCACCUCACUAUGGGCCCACACAGCCAGCUUAUAGUCCUAGUCAGCAG
rnacentral:sRNA from 1 species